rnacentral:lncRNA from 1 species
AGCUAUUAGGCAGAAGAAAUGGGAGAGAUGUCAAUUAAGAGAGAGAUAUUAGCAAUAAGACUGCCUAUCUUUAGAAGAAUUUGCUUCCUUUGUCCACAGAGAAAAUAAAUGAGUGGGCAUACAUACAAUGAUCAUGAAUUAAUCUGACAAGAAAGAAAUCUCAGUGAGAUUCUCAAUUUUAUACCUGCGUUCAGGUCAUGGCCAGAUCCGCUACAUGGCAUGGCUUCCACAUCAUUUGAUGGGAUAUUUAUGAACUGAUGAUGUCUUUCAGGAACUU